CCUCGGAGGGAUCAUUACCGAGUUUACAACUCCCAAACCCAAUGUGAACGUUACCAAUCUGUUGCCUCGGCGGGAUUCUCUGCCCCGGGCGCGUCGCAGCCCCGGAUCCCAUGGCGCCCGCCGGAGGACCAACUCAAACUCUUUUUUCUCUCCGUCGCGGCCUACGUCGCGGCUCUGUUUUAUUUUUGCUCUGAGCCUUUCUCGGCGACCCUAGCGGGCGUCUCGAAAAUGAAUCAAAACUUUCAACAACGGAUCUCUUGGUUCUGGCAUCGAUGAAGAACGCAGCGAAAUGCGAUAAGUAAUGUGAAUUGCAGAAUUCAGUGAAUCAUCGAAUCUUUGAACGCACAUUGCGCCCGCCAGUAUUCUGGCGGGCAUGCCUGUCCGAGCGUCAUUUCAACCCUCGAACCCCUCCGGGGGGUCGGCGUUGGGGAUCGGCCCCUCACCGGGCCGCCCCCGAAAUACAGUGGCGGUCUCGCCGCAGCCUCUCCUGCGCAGUAGUUUGCACACUCGCACCGGGAGCGCGGCGCGGCCACAGCCGUAAAACACCCCAAACUCUGAAAUGUUGACCUCGGAUCAGGUAGGAAUACCCGCUGAACUUAAGCAUAUC
rnacentral:rRNA from 1 species